rnacentral:rRNA from 1 species
UUAUUGUAGUGCCGUUUAAGGGUUCGCCCUUGGGUAGCGUUGCAUGCGGUGGGGCAUAAUAAUAGGGUAAACCAGGUAUUUAUAACUUGAAUACAUAGGGUUAUAAAAGCAAACCCGGGGAACUGAAACAUCUAAGUACCCGGAGGAAAGGACAUCAAUUAGAUACUCCCCUAGUAGCGGCGAGCGAACGGGGACCAGCCGAGCCAUGAGUGUGACUAGAAUGUGUUGGAAAGCACAACCAAAGUGGGUGACAGUCCCGUAUAGGAAGCAUGAUUGGACGUAUUAAGUAGGGCGGGACACGUGAAAUCCUGUUCGAAGAUCGGAGGACCACCUCCGAAGGCUAAGUACUCCUUACUGACCGAUAGUGAACCAGUACCGUGAGGGAAAGGUGAAAAGCACCCCGACGAGGGGAGUGAAACAGUUUCUGAAACCGGACGCCUACAAUCAGUUGGAGGGCCCUUGCGGCCUGACAGCGUACCUUUUGUAUAAUGGGUCAUCGACUUAGUGUAUCUAGCAAGCUUAAGCCGUUAGGUGUAGGCGCAGCGAAAGCGAGUCUUAAUAGGGCGAUUGAGUUAGAUGCAUUAGACCCGAAACCGAGUGAUCUAGGCAUGACCAGGUUGAAGGUUGGGUAACACCAACUGGAGG